AUGCUCACUACACCAGCACAUAUGCUAAAAUUGGAACACUACAGAGAAGAUUAGCAUGGCCCCUGAGCGAGAAAGACACGCAAAUUCAUGAAGCAUUCCAUAUUUUC
ensembl:snRNA U6 U6 spliceosomal RNA